rnacentral:rRNA from 1 species
AUGUCUUUGUCUCAACAGCAUCAGGCGCAAUAUGACCGCUUUGGUGGUAGCUUGCCAAGAUCACACGCUGCUUCGUGGUUGACAGUGCUGGUUCUGAUGAGAAUACUUGUAAUAUUAUGGCAAUUGUCUUUUUUGAAAAAUAGUAAUGCACAUCAGAAACAAUCUAAUCACAUAUAUUCGCUAAUGAGAUAUAAUAUACCUCCUUUUGUCACCAUGUACAACAAUUCACAAUUGUUGCAUAUUAUGUUUGAUAGUAGUUUUACACACAUCUUAUUUUUGUCUGAUAUUUCUAAUUCGUACAAACCGAUGCAGAUGCACAUGUUGAGCCCACCAUGCCCAGCCUCUAGGAUUGGUUGGAGAUCCAAAUAUAUGUCUAUUCAUAUAAAAUAA